ACGCUCGACACCUACGGGAAGCAGCAGUGGGGAAUAUUGCACAAUGGGGGAAACCCUGAUGCAGCGACGCCGCGUGAAGGAAGAAGUAUUUCGGAUGUAAACUUCUAUCAGCAGGGAAGAAAAUGACGGUACCUGACUAAGAAGCCCCGGNUAACUACGUGCCAGCAGCCGNGGUAAUCUGAGCGGGCUGGCAAGGC
rnacentral:rRNA from 1 species